rnacentral:rRNA from 1 species
AUUGAACGCUGGCGGCAGGCCUAACACAUGCAAGUCGAGCGCGAAAGGACUUCGGUCCAAGUAGAGCGGCGGACGGGUGAGUAACGCGUAGGAAUUUACCCAGUAGAGGGGGAUAACUUGGGGAAACUCAAGCUAAUACCGCAUACGCCCCAAGGGGGAAAGCGGGGGAUCUUCGGACCUCGUGCUAUUGGAUGAGCCUGCGUUAGAUUAGCUAGUUGGUAGGGUAAAGGCCUACCAAGGCGACGAUCUAUAGCUGGUCUGAGAGGAUGAUCAGCCACACCGGGACUGAGACACGGCCCGGACUCCUACGGGAGGCUG